GGAAGAGCUAAUAAGAAGGAGGUUCAUCUACCUGAGGACAAAGACAGAUCUAUUGUCUGGGAUCCAACUCUGCACAGAUGGGUUAACAAAACUGAGCCCAAGGCUGAGAACAAGUGUGUACCACCACCUCCACCGAUGGGGACAUAUGGAUAUCAGGGGAACACUGGCAGUGUCCCCAAAGGAGUGAAUCCUUACUCUAUGAAAGCAGCAGGUCUAUGGGGCAGCAGAUACCCUACAAUGAAUUACA